CGGGAAGAGCUCAAAUUUGAAAGCUGGCAGCAAUGUCCGCGUUGUAAUCUCGAGAAGUGUUUUCCGCGCUGGACCGUAGACAUGUUCGUUGGAAUACGAUGUCAUAGAGGGUGAUAACCCCGUACACGCUACGGACGCCCAGUGCUUUGUGAUACACUUUCGAA
rnacentral:rRNA from 1 species